UACAGAGGUCCCAAGCGUUGUUCGGAUUCAUUGGGCGUAAAGGGUGCGUAGGCGGCGCGGUAAGUCGGGUGUGAAAUCUCGGAGCUUAACUCCGAAACUGCAUUCGAUACUGCCGUGCUUGAGGACUGGAGAGGAGAUUGGAAUUUACGGUGUAGCGGUGAAAUGCGUAGAUAUCGUAAGGAAGACCAGUGGCGAAGGCGGGUCUCUGGACAGUUCCUGACGCUGAGGCACGAAGGCCAGGGGAGCAAACGGG
rnacentral:rRNA from 1 species